rnacentral:rRNA from 1 species
UACGAAGGGGGCUAGCGUUGCUCGGAAUUACUGGGCGUAAAGCGCACGUAGGCGGCUUUCUAAGUCGGGGGUGAAAUCCUGGAGCUCAACUCCAGAACUGCCUUCGAUACUGGAAAGCUCGAGUCCGGGAGAGGUGAGUGGAACUGCGAGUGUAGAGGUGAAAUUCGUAGAUAUUAGGAAGAACACCAGUGGCGAAGGCGGCUCACUGGAUCGGUACUGACGCUGAGGUGCGAAAGCGUGGGGAGCAAACAGG